UUAUCCCCAUUUUACAGAUGAAGAAACUGAGGCUGAGUUUAAGUGACUUGUAUAGAGUCACACAGUGAAGGGUAUAUCUGAGGUAAGAUUUGCACUCAGGUCUUCCCAAUUCCAAUUCAUGUCAUUUACCACUAGUCUGGCAGCAUGAAAGAUAGAGUGCCAGGCCUGCAUUCAGACUUAUUUUCCUGAGUUCAAAUCCAGCCUCAGCCAUUUAGUAGCUGUGCUACCCUGGGAGAAUCACUUAACUCUGUUUGCCUUACUUUCCUAAUCUGUAAAAUGAUCUAAAGAAAGCUACGAUAAAUCACUCCAAUAUCUUGGCUAAGAAAACCAAAUAAGGUCCCAGAGAGUUGAAAAAUGACUAAACAACAACCAAAAUCCACUGUUCCAUCCUGUUGUCAAUCAUCUAGUGCAUUACCUUCCCUUUCUGUUUUGUUCACUUAAAUGUUUGCCUUACUUUCUUAAUCCAUAAAAUGAUCUAGAGAAAGAAAAAAUAAAUCACUCCAAUAUCUUGGCUAAGAAAACCAAAUGGGGUCCCAGAAAGUUGAAAAAUGACUAAACAACAACUCAAAUCUACUGUUCCAUCAAUCAUCUAGUGCAUUACCUUCCCUUUCUGUUUUGUUCACUUAAAUGUUUGCCUUACUUUCCUAAUCCGUAAAAUGAUCUAGAGAAAGAAGUAAUAAAUAAAUCACUCCAGUAUCUUGGCUGAGAAAACCAAAUGGGGUCUCCCAUUUGCAAAUGAAAUAUCUGUACCUUUAUUCAAAUCAUGAUCAAAAGGUGAAAUGACAAUUGGCCAAGGAAGACGCCUCCUUGGAUGAUGACUCUUAACUCCCUUGCCAUCACUUCCUCCCCACUCCAUCGGGUUCUAAUUCGAGAUGUGCAGUAUUGGGUUCAAACGGCUCCAUCUUUUCUACAAAGAUGGCAUAACUCCUCUCAGUUAAUGGCACUCUCCCCAUUAUCCUAGUCUACUAUGCCAAAAAAGGAAAUGAGGUUAAUCUGGGCAUGACCCAUGCUUAAUAAAGCCAAGCUGACACUCUAUUAUCACUGCUUCCUUUUCUAGAUGUUCAGUAACCGUCCCUUUAAUAGUCUGUUCUGGAAUUUUGUCAAGAAUCAAAGUCCAGCUCACUGCCUGCUCCUUUGCCUUUUUUGAAACUGAAGACAGCAUUUGUCCUUCUUCCAUCCCGUGACAACUCUCCAAGGUCUUUCAAAGGGCACUGAUAGCGGCUCCACUAUACCUGCCAAUUUUCUCAGUAUAGUUUUUUGGGUCUGUGACCUGAAUUUCUUGAGGGCAGCUGGGCGCUCUCUUGCACUCUAUUUAUUUUAGCUUCCAGUUGCUUCAUGGCCAUUUUUAUUCUCCCUCUCCCAUCCAGAGUCCACCCCAUCCUCCCACCCCUGGAAGUCUUAUCUCUUCUUUAUCUUCCUCUUUUCUCCAAAAUAGAAUUAAAAAAACAAACCACCAAAAUCCUUUUUGGGUAUCCUUGGCAUUUCUUAUGAGCCACAGCUCAAUCUGAGCUAUGUCCCAUCUGUCCCUAUCGUUCUAGGGAGUACCACCAAGUGGCAACCAUCCUCUACUGACCAAGCUUGUUCCAGUUUGGGACAGUACAAGGGAUAGUGUGAUCUAGUGGACAGAGUCAAGUGAAUAUCAGAUAGAUCCGGCUGGGUAACCACAGGCUAAUAACAACUUCUCAAAAGCCCAGACAACUCUGUGAUAUUUAUGAGGGGAGGGAAGAGGGGAGGGAAGGGGAGAGGGCUGGAUUCUGCCUUGGGCUAAGGCAAGCCCGCCUCAUUCUUUCCUCUGCCCCUGCCGGACUCCCAGGAGUCUUUUUUGGGGUCAAGGAAGAAGCCCCUCUCAGACCUCGUCAUCCAACCUCACACUUCCCUGUCAGGACAGGGUUACAGGACACUAAUCAUCAUUUGGAAGUCUACAUCCCUUCCUUAAUGGGAGAUUGAGGGCCCCCCUCCUGUCAGUGAGUAUUCAGGACCUCUUUCCUUUAUCUCCUGGGGUAGGGAAGGGAGGGACCCAACUGGGAAGGGAUGAGUAGGAUGAAGAAUUAUUCCCCCCCUUCCCCAGGGCCAGUCCUGGAAGCUCUGACAGUCACACCAAACCGGCCUGGCAACAGCCUCCCUGCUGGGCUCGGCCGCUUUUGGCCUUCCAUCUCCUUAUAAAGCAGCUGCCCUGGUGCUUUUUUCUCUUAGCACAGUUUAAUUUUAUACAGAGCAAAGGCACUCUUCAGUCCCUUCUGCCUCACCCUGCCCCGCUGAAUACAUUCCUCCCAGAUCAACAUUACCUAAUUUAACCAUGGUCCCCGAGCCCUGGGCUCUCUCAAAAUAGCAGCUGCCAAGGGGGGAAAAUACCCUAAUGUUAUCAAAAUAAACAAUCUCCCCACUCCCUGGCCUGCCCUUAGUCUGCCUGGCCUGGCUUGGGAGGAGGCCCCAGGGCCCUAAUUUGAGGGGAACCAAGAAGAAAACUCAAGUCCUGUUUCCUACAUCUUUCCUCGUUCUUCUGCCGCCAUUCCUGGGGCACUAUGUUCCUUCCAGUCACUCAGGUUUAUAAGUGAGGUCUCUAGAACCAGGACAACAACACAGCAACAAGAUUAUGCGAUGAUCAACUCUGAUGGACAUGGGUCUUUUCAACAAUAAGGUGAUUCAGGCCAUUUCCAAUAGACUUGGAAUGGAGAAGACUAUGGGGACUGAAUGUGGAUCACAAUGUACUAUUUUCACUUUAUUUUUUGUUAUUUACUUGAUUUUUGUUUUCUUUCUCAUUUUUUUCCUUUUUAAUCUGAUUUUUCUUGGGCAGCAUGAUAAUUUUGGAAAUAUGUAUAGAAGAAUUGCAUGUAUUUAACAUAUAUUGGAUUACUUGCUAUCUAAAUGAAGGGGUGAGGGAAGAGAGGGAGAAAAAAAUUGGAACUCAAGAUUUUGCAAGGGUGAAUGUUGAAAAGUAUGCAUAUAUGAAAUGAUCAACAGGAUGAAUACAGAGAGGACUGGCGAGACUUACAUGAACUGAUGCUAAGUGAAAUGAGCAGAACCAGGAGAUCAUUAUAUACCUCAACAAUGAUACUGUUUGAGGAUGUAUUCUGAUGGAAGUGGAUCUCUUCGAUAAAGAGAACUAAUUCAGUUUCAAUUGAUCAAGGAUGGACAGAAGCAGCUACACCCAAAGAAAGAACACUGGGAAAUGAAUAUAAACUGCUUGCAUUUCUGUUUUUCUUCUCGGGUUAUUUAUACCUUCUGAAUCCAAUUCUCCCUGUGCAACAAGAGAACUGUUCAGUUCUGCACACAUAUAUUGUAUCUAAGAUAUACUGUAACCUAUUUAACAUGUAAAGGACUGCUUGCCAUCUGGGGGAGGGGGUGGAGGGAGGGAGGGGAAAAAUCGGAACAGAAGUGAGUGCAAGGGAUAAUGCUGUAAAAAAUUACCCCUGUCAAUAAAAAGUUAUUUAAAAAAAAGAAAAGUAUGCAUAUAUGUUGUGUAUUUUUUUAAUAUGAAGGGAUAUCAUUUUUACUAAAGCUUUUUAUUUUCAAAACAUAUACACAGAUAAUUUCCAGCAUUCACUCUUGCAAAAUCUUUCCCUUCAUAUUCAAAAAUAACAAAAACCCCCAAAACAUAUACAUAAUUUUAAACAUUCAUCUUUGUAAAAUCUUGUGUUCCAACUUUUUUCCUCCCUCCCUUUUCUCUAUCCCCUCCUCUAGAUGGCAACUAAUCCAAUAUGUGUUAAACACGUGCAACACUUCCAUACAUAAUUCCACAAUUAUCAUGUGCAUAUAUUUUGAAAAGAAAAAGAAAAAUAUAAGUGUAGUCUCAUCCCUUCCUCUUCCUACUACUCUGCCCCUCGGAUCUCAUCAGCUGCCAGUUCCUGUGGCUUUUACUAAAGUAGGUGGGUGUUGUGAUCUGACGGCUGGAGGACCCAAAUUUGAAUCCUCUCUCAGACACUAUCAGUCCUACCCUGCACAAGUGACAAUUGCCUGGUUUAUUUAUGGUACCUUUCCUACUGUCUACAGACACAAGCCUCCCCAUGUGUAAAAACAAACAAAAUCCCAUCACUCUGCAAUACUUCUCCCAUCUCAGCUACAUCCUUUGAAAAAGCUGUCUAAAACAAUUCUGAAAGACUUAAAAACAAUGAUCAAUGAAACAGAUAAGUUUCCUUAUCUGGAAAAUGAAGAUGAUAAUGACAUCUCUUCCCCAGGAGGGUGGUGAGGAUGAAAUGAGAUUGGAUAUUGCAAUAAAAUGAGAUCAUAUAUUGCAAACUUUGUGGAAUUGAGGGAAGGGACUGGUCCACUCUUGGUUUAUGUUCUCUAGCUCCGAGCUUGGUACAAAGAGCCUGGGACUAAGCAGGACGGGACGGCACCUGUGGAUGCCUGAUAGUUUCCUCUGAUUCUUUCCCAGACGUUAAUGACUUCGGCAGCAGGCCUAAAGGCUUCCUGCUUACAAACAAGACAACAAUAUAGAAAGGAACGACCCCUUCCCUAUAGCCAGGCCCCAGACAAUGGAGGAUGUCCCUAAGGUCCUCCCCACCAGGAACACACUCCUCAUUACUCUAUCUAUUCAAACUAACUUAGAAUCAGAGAAAUUAGACCUAGUAAUGUCCUUACAGAUUAGUGAGUCCAUCCUUCUGAUUUUACAGAUGAGGAAACUGAGGGUCACAAAGUGCAAAUAUUUUGCCCAAGAUCACAUCAUUUAUGGAUGGAUGGGCGUGGGUGGUACUCCCAUCAGAUCCUGACUCAGCUUCAAGGCCCCUUUGAUGAGACAGCUUGGAACAAUAGAAAUGGCUCUGGUCUGGCAUUGUCGAGACUUGGGUUCCAAUUCCAUUUGAGACUAUAGUUUAUAAAGAACUUACUUUCCUUGAGACCCACAGAGAAAGUGACUUCUGAAUUAAAAUACAUAUUUGAAGGUCCCACCCAGCUCUGACAUCUUCUGCCCUAGGGUCCGUUCCAGCUCGGACAUUCUUUAAGAGCUUACGUGUCUGAAUUUAACCUAGUAGAAUGCUGACUAAAUACAGAUCGAACUUAAAAUAAGCUGAUACUUCUUAACUCCUAAAGAAAGCUUGUAACUAAACCCAAGAAGGAAUACAAUUUAUCACCCAGGGGAAACAAAAUCCCGCAGGAGAAAUCUGAGAUGGGAUAGGCUGGGAUUGGGGCAAGAGGGUAGAGGAAUAGCCAGAAAAAAGUGGGGCCAGACAUGCAAUUUAAGGCAGCCCCCAGACAGUCGAGAGGACCAGGUCCUCUAGCACGCCAUUCUCCCAGUAGGGUCCUCCUUCCACCUGUUCAGGGUCUAGUCAUGCUCUAUGGCCCAGCUAACGUCCUGUCUCCUCCAGAAUCCCCAGGCUCCCUCUCUUCAGAAUUCCUGUUGCAUGAAGGCAUCUCCACUCCACAAUCAAACUUCACACCCAUUCUCCCCUAUGGCCCCUCAAAUCCCAUGCUCUUCCAGACUUCCUCAAUUUGGUCAAGGGUACCACCAUCCUUCCAGGCCCCCGGGGAUCUCAAGCCCAGUUCUCCUCAGAUUGCUCACUCUCCCUCAUGCCAUAAGUCUUGUCUUUUCUCCACAACAUCUGCACAUUGGUCCCCUUCUCUCCGUGGACAGACAAGUUCCUGCUUCAGACCCUUCCCACCUCUCACAGGAAACAAUGGCCUCCUGAAGGGGAUCAGUGCUUUAGCUUUACCAUUACAAUCCAUCCUCCUUACAGCUGCCAAAGUGGUUUUUCUAAAUUACUGGCGAUCUAACUCCAGCACUUCCAUCAUACACAGUAAGUGGUCAGUCUCCAGUGACUACUGUCACCCUAAGGAUGGAAUAGCUAUGCCUUUGUUUGGCAUUUCAAAAUCUUCACAAUCUGGUCUCACUCUACCUAUUCAGUCUUAUUAUCCACAACUCUGCCCUCUUUAGUCCAACCAAGCCAGACUUCUCUCUGUUCACAUCUCCCUUCCUCUUUCUCUUCACUUUUUCUUCUCUCUCUUUCUCCCUCCCCCUCUUCUCUCUUUCUUUCUCUUUUCUCUCUUUCCCGUCUUCUUUUUCUCUUCUCUUUCACUUUCUCUUCUUUUUCUUUUUUCUCUUUUACACACACACACACACACAAACACACACUCUCUUGGUGCUUCAUCUCCCAACUAUUUGCUUUUGUCCUGGCUGUAUCCUGCAUGCCUUUUUCCAUCUUAGAUUAAGGGAUUUAAAUUCCCUGGUUCCUUUAAGGCCCAGCUCAAAUAUCAACCCUUAAAUGAAGCCUUUACUCAUUUCUCCAGGUACUCAUUCUCUGUUCUCGAAAUGUCAUAUAUUAUAUAUACUUAUAAGAGUAUAUGUGAUACUUUAACAUAUUUAACAUGUAUUGGUCAACCUGCCAUUGGCGGGGAGGGGGUGGGGGGAAGGAGGGGAAAAAUUGGAACAAAAGGUUUGGCAAUUGUCAAUGCUGUAAAAUUACCCAUGCAUGUAACUUAUAAAUAAAAAGCUAUAAUAAAAAAAUAAAAACUAAAAAACUAAAAUAAAAAAAAUAGAAAAAUAUAUUUAACUGAAAAAAAAAGAGUAUAUGUGAAUGCCCCAAAGAACAUAAACUCCUUGCCCUUUUGCUUUUGAAUUGACAUCACUUAGCACAAUGCCUGGUAUAUAAGUGCUUGAUAAGUGCUUGUUGAUUAACUG